rnacentral:tRNA from 7 species
UAGCUCAGGUGGUUAGAGCGCACCCCUGAUAAGGGUGAGGUCGGUGGUUCAAGUCCACU